rnacentral:ncRNA from 1 species
AUUUUGCUGAUCUAUUGUCCAGCAAAAU